rnacentral:rRNA from 1 species
AAUCAACGCUGGCGGCGCGCCUAACACAUGCAAGUCGAACGAGAAAGUGGAGCAAUCCAUGAGUACAGUGGCGUACGGGUGAGUAACACGUGGAUCAUCUACCUCUUUGUGGGGAAUAACCGAGGGAAACCUUGGCUAAUACCGCAUAAGCCCGAGAGGGGAAAGCAGCAAUGCGCAGAGAGAGGAGUCCGCGGCCGAUUAGCUAGUUGGCAGGGUAAGAGCCUACCAAGGCAGAGAUCGGUAGCCGGCCUGAGAGGGCACACGGCCACACUGGCACUGAAACACGGGCCAGACUCCUACGGGAGGCAGCAGUGGGGAAUCUUGCACAAUGGGGGAAACCCUGAUGCAGCGACGCCGCGUGAGCGAUGAAGCCCUUCGGGGUGUAAAGCUCUUUCGGCAGGGAAGAUGGUGACGGUACCUGCAGAAGCAGCUGCGGCUAACUACGUGCCAGCCGCCGCAGUAAGAC